ACAGUCACACAUUAGAUACCCGGGUAGUCCUAGCCGUAAACGAUACUCGCUAGGUGUCGGCCACGGUGCGACCGUUGUCGGUGCCGUAGGGAAGCCGUGAAGCGAGCCACCUGGGAAGUACGGCCGCAAGGCUGAAACUUAAAGGAAUUGGCGGGGAGCACAACAACGGGUGGAGCUUGCGGUUUAAUUGGAUUCAACGCCGGAAAUCUUACCGGGACCGACAGCAACAUGAAGGCCAAGCUGAAGACUUUGCCGGAUUAGCUG
rnacentral:rRNA from 1 species